UAUAAAUUCUCCUCCCUGCCCAAUAGGUGGCGAUGUGCAGGAAGAAUGUGAAUUGCCAAAAACAAAAGAAGAAUGCAAAAAUGAAAGUGAAAGUGGGGAUUUACCAUAAAAAGGACUUAAAUAUUGAUCUGUUUCUCCCCCACAUCUAUCAUAUAGCUUCUGAAGACCGACUUAAUCACUGGAAUCAUAUGGUUUCUUCUGUGCUGCCUUUAUAUGCAUUUUGGAUAUUUGGAUAUUCUUCUAAAACUCUUCGACUGUGUUCAGCAGAAGAAAGAAAGUCAUACGCAUCUGGGAUGGCAUGAGGAAAUGAAGAUAAGAGGUAGUGUGCUGUAACUCCAGUUUCUAUUCCCCUGACCGAACAGUGGUGAGGAAUAUUCACAGGAGAGAGAGCAGUAGGGAUGGAGGCGUGUCGUGGAACUGUAAAGAACUGUGGAAUGGAAAGCAGCAGGAGCUUUGAGCACGGGGAGAGCGGCAUAAAUAGAGUGACACAACACUCAGUCAAGAGAGAGACUGGAUACGACAGAGCCGAGCCAGAGCAAGGAUUUUCUAAUAGUGAGAGUUUAUUUGUGGAAGCAGUGUGUGUUAGUGUUUAGUUAGUGCAUAAAGGUAAACUGUAAAGUGGUGUCGAGGAAGAUGGGGAAAUAAAGCCUCACCUGAAG